ACGGGUGUAGCUCAAUUGGUAGAGUAGCGGUCUCCAAAACCGUUGGUUGGGGGUUCGAGUCCCUCCUCCCGUG
rnacentral:tRNA from 9 species